CAAGUCGAGCGAACUUGCGGGAGCUUGCUCCCAAAAGUUAGCGGCGGACGGGUGAGUAACACGUGGGCAACCUGCCUGUAAGACUGGGAUAACUUCGGGAAACCGGAGCUAAUACCGGAUAAUUCUUUUCUACUCAUGUAGGAAAGCUGAAAGAUGGCUUCGGCUAUUACUUACAGAUGGGCCCGCGGCGCAUUAGCUAGUUGGUGAGGUAACGGCUCACCAAGGCAACGAUGCGUAGCCGACCUGAGAGGGUGAUCGGCCACACUGGGACUGAGACACGGCCCAGACUCCUACGGGAGGCAGCAGUAGGGAAUCUUCCGCAAUGGACGAAAGUCUGACGGAGCAACGCCGCGUGAGUGAUGAAGGUUUUCGGAUCGUAAAACUCUGUUGUUAGGGAAGAACAAGUACCGUUCGAAUAGGGCGGUACCUUGACGGUACCUAACCAGAAAGCCACGGCUAACUACGUGCCAGCAGCCGCGGUAAUACGUAGGUGGCAAGCGUUGUCCGGAAUUAUUGGGCGUAAAGCGCGCGCAGGCGGUCCUUUAAGUCUGAUGUGAAAGCCCACGGCUCAACCGUGGAGGGUCAUUGGAAACUGGGGGACUUGAGUGCAGAAGAGGAGAGUGGAAUUCCACGUGUAGCGGUGAAAUGCGUAGAGAUGUGGAGGAACACCAGUGGCGAAGGCGACUCUCUGGUCUGUAACUGACGCUGAGGCGCGAAAGCGUGGGGAGCGAACAGGAUUAGAUACCCUGGUAGUCCACGCCGUAAACGAUGAGUGCUAAGUGUUAGAGGGUUUCCGCCCUUUAGUGCUGCAGCAAACGCAUUAAGCACUCCGCC
rnacentral:rRNA from 1 species